AUGGCUCUUAGGUUUGGUCUAGUUCUUGCAAAAAAGCCGAGAUGCAAUCGUCUUGUUAUUAACUCUGAUAAUAUGGAAGUCAUUAACACGAUUAAGAAUGGAGGACAAUCUGCAGGAGCGGCGGCGGCGGUCUUCGACGAUUGCUACUUCAUGGCAUAUGAUUUUCCUCUGACUAGAUUUGAACAUUGUAAUAGGGUAGCUAAUAAGGUUGCCCAUGAACUUGCUAGGCUGACAAAAAUGUCUAUAACUAGAGAUUGGUUUGAGGAGCCUAUGAAGAAUAUUGUACCUAUUCUUAUAGACGAUGUAACCAUUAUUUCUAAUCAAUAA
rnacentral:rRNA from 1 species